ACCGAAAUAGCUCAGUUGGGAGAGCGUUCGACUCUAGAUCGAAAGGUCUAUGGUUCGAUCCUGAGAUUCGGCA
rnacentral:tRNA from 1 species